rnacentral:tRNA from 1 species
GGGCGUAGUUUAAUGGUAGAACUCCAGCCUUCCAAGCUGGUCGUGGGAGUUCGAUUCUCCCCGCCCG